ensembl:lncRNA
CUUCAAGAGUUCUUUUUACUGAGGCUAACUCUGCUGGUUGCUGUGUCUGCAGAAUGUCUGUUGAUUUGGGAGGGCUGCCUGCAAUGGUUUGGGGAAGUCCCCCACUUAAGAGUUUUGGUGGGAAACAGAGAAGUUGAAAAUGUCAGUCACUCACUCUCCCAGGACCCUGUGCAGCUGGGAUGGUCAAGCACAUGAUCCAUGUGCAACCAACCAGAUGUUACAUGCAAUGAAAUGGAGCCCUCGAGGAUUCAUCUUAGUGGUUGGUGGCAACAGCUACACCUUCCAUCCAGCAUCACCAGUGGCAGCAAGGACACAGACAACACCCAGCAGCCACUUGUCAUACUUCCUGCUGUAACUCAAUCCCACAAACUGAUUGUCUACCCCCGAAAGUGCUGCGGACUUGGAGAAUGCAAAGAUAAACCACUCCUCUGCAAGCAAUCACUUGAGCUAGGGAGGAAUGGAAGAUCGGCCAUUUCCCUGUUCCCAUUGCUUGAGCACAUGGGGCUUAGGUCCCCAAAAGCCACCAAGUGUAGCAUGUUCUAAAGUUUGUUCUGGGCUUGCUGAGAGAUGUCAGAACCAGCCAUUAACCAUCAAGGAAGGAAAGCCUGAUAAAGUUAGCUUUGGCGUGUCUGCAGGGAAAACCCAGGGCUUCCUUGGUGGGUCAGUGGUAAAGAAUCCACCUGCCAAUGUAGGACACCUGGGUUUGAUCCCUGGGCCAAGAAGAUUCCCUGGAGAAGGAAAUGGCAACUCACUCCAGUAUUCUUACCUGGGAAAUUCUAUGGACAGAGGAGCCUGGUGGGCUACAGUCCAUUGGGUCGCAAGAGUCGGACAUGACUGAGCAACAAGGAAAAUCCUAUGUCCAUGAUGGGAGAGCAUAGUUCCUCCCCUCCUGUAGCCAAGAGUAGCUCUAAACAAAUCUCAUAUGAAGACUGGGGGACCUGCAAGAAGGUGUCCCCCAAAUGCACACCUGCUGAGCUGCAGAAAUUAUAGGCCCUCCUGGUGCCACCAACAGAUCUGAGCAUGGUGAGGAGCAUCCUGAGUGUCUGAGAACGGUGGGUGUCCUUUUACUCUUCUCACUGCAUCAUCGGGACAGAGAGGGGACGUGAACUCAAACAACGGUGCUACUCCUGGCCCAGAGAUGGCUCACCUGCCAGAGGAGCCCAGGACUACAGGGUCUAAAGAGCCUCUGAUGUGAUGUGCCUGGAAAACCUUCACCCCAUCCAAAUCUCUGUGGCCCUCGAAGGGCCCCAUGGUUGUUACUGUGGACCCUGGUGGUUAUUAAUGAGAAGGGCAGAGGCCAUGGAUGGCCCUGGGUCCAAGCAAGAGGAGUCCCACAAGCGAGACGUGUGGGAAGAGGCAUGGCUGCCAUUCUCAGGAGGGCAGGGAUCCACAGGCAUGGAGGAGCAUGUGAUCACACACACAUACCCACACAGUGGUAGCCACCAGCACUACACAGAGCCAACACCCAGAGCAAAGCCAGGACACUCCCCAUAACCAACAUGCGGUCAGUCACACAAGGAGAAUCUCUCUUUUUCCAGUUGCCCACCUCCCUCGCCCCCCAGCACUGGGCUGCAGAAGACCUACGAGGGGCUUGGCAGCUUCAGGGCAGGGGAGGGGGAUCAAGAGAAGAACAUGCAGUGUCGGUUCAGUCCCAGUUCUAGCUUGUGCUGGGCCACAGGGAGAAGGCUUGCGAUGAGUUUGAGACUGGAGUUUUUAGACAAAUAGGAUUGAGCCUUAUAUUCUAAGCUCCAAAUUCAUUUUAACCAAAAGUAACCAGAGAGCUAUGGAAUCUGCUGAAAUUCUGUUAAGCAUCACCUACCACCCACCCUACAGGAAAUCAACCCUGAAUAUUCAUUGGAAAGACUGAUUCUGAAGCUUCAAUACUUUGGCCACCAGAGGUGAAGAGAUGACUCACUGGAAAAGACCCUGAUGCUGGGAAAGACUGACGGCAGGAGGAGAAGGGGGUGACAGAGGAUGAAAUCAUUCAAUGCCAUCAUCGACUCAAUAGACAUGAGUUUGAGCAAACUCCAAGAAAUAGUGAAGGGCAGGGAAGCCUGGCACGCUAUAGUCCAUGGGGUCAUAAAGAAUCAGACACAACUGAGUGACUGAACAACAUAAAGGCAAGGUCAACAAAACACCACUGGUAGUAAUUCCUGAAGAAAGAAAACCGGUUCACAUUUCUACCCCGAUGGCUGGGAACGUCUCAGAACACAAACAAUCAUCUACCAGGGCAGGGGGAGGGGAGGAUGGAACGGGAGGUCAGCCCCCAUGUUUGUGCUCUGCCCACACCUCUCUGCAGAAGCCUUUGAUGAGGGAAGGCUCCUCAGCCCUGACUCUGCAUGACGUUAACAUUGGACACAGUGCAGUCACCAGAUCUCCCUGGACACAGUCCCUCAUUUCAGCAAAUACUGGAACACCUACCACAUUCCAGGCAAGACAGAAGAUAGACCUCAGGCAGCUGCCGGGAUAAAAGAGACAGCCAGACACACCUUAGUCUGAUAAGCACUAGAAGUCUAAGGGUCUGGGGCUAAUUGAGCAAAAAGAAAGGAACCUAACUCAAUAUUAGGGUAUUAGGAAAAGCUUCUGGUAAGAGAAGUUGUCUCUGUGGAGAGCUAAAGGAUGGAUGGGUGUGAGUUGAGUCACUAGGAAGAGAUUUCCAGGUGAUUCCUCACAUCAUCAUGUCCCUGGGAGCCACCACAUAACCUUCGGAGCCAUGUAGAGUUUACCCCAAGGGCAAAUGGGCUUCGUUAAAAAGUAAAUGAAAUGAGGACUGACUGCUUAAUGGGCAGUGAAAUUAGGUAGUGGUCGUGGCUGCCUAGCAAUGCAAAUGUACUAAAAAGCCACUGAAUUGUACACAUUAAAUGGUUAAAAUUUUUAAAUGGUAAAUUUGAUGUAUGUAAUUUUACCUGGAAAAAAAAAAGAAAGAAAGAAAAGAUGAUACCUGGAGGGAACUUUUGAUUUCAACCAAGAAAAAUGGAACAAGGACCAAUUUACCCACCUGCGCAAAACAACUAAAACCAAGACAAAUCUAAGAAACAUGGUUUCCAGGAGAAUAGACAUUGGGCAAGAAAAGACAGCAAUCCCUGAGGAAUGGGAAACAAAUGAAGUGAGUUCUAGGACUGCCCCAGCAUACUGCUUUAUGGGCUUCAAGGCCACAAAGUGGCCAGCUCCCAGAGCUGAAGAAACAAAGCAGAAACUCAGGGAAGACCAUGGCAGCUAGGGCACUAGAGAGGAAGAGAGAACCAUGAAAAUCUGCAGAGGGUCUCCCUCCAGAGUCCACCACAUGCAUGCAAGAAACUGGAUUAAAGGGAAGAAUGCCAGAGCUCAGACAGAGCUAGGAAUAGCACUGCUCCCAACAGCCAGGCUGUAAAACCUCAUAAUUUAUGGAACAAUGAACAGACUACUAAGAGUCUUAACCACAUUCCUCAAAAAAUUAAAAACAGAACCACCAUAUGACCCAGCACACCUAGUCACAUCCAGAGAAUAUGAAAAUAGGAUUUCAAAGAGAUGUCUGCUGCAUGUUCAUUGCAGUAACAUUCACAGACACAAAAACAACCUAAGUGCCCAUCAGCAGAUGAAUGGAUUAAAAAGCUGUGAUACACAUAUAUACAGACACACACAAUGAAAUAUUAUUCAGCAGUGAGAAAGAAGGAUAUCCUGUCAUUUGCAACAACAUGAAUAUACCUUGAGGACAUUAUGAUAAGAAAUAAGCCAGAGAAAGUCUAAUACUAUAUGUAUGGUGUCACUUAUAUGUGGAUUUUUAAAAAGUCAAAUUUAUAGAAACAAGUAGAGUGAGAUGUUGGUCAAAGGGUACAAACUUUGUUAUAAGACAAAAUAAGUUCCUAGGAUCUAAUGUACAGCAUGGUGUUAUGGCUAAGAAUACUGUAUUAUAUAACUUGUUGCUAACAGAUCUUAAAUGUUCUCACCACAGAAAAAAAGAUGAACAUGUGAUGUGAUGGAGGUGUUAGCUAACACUACAGUGGUAAUCAUUUUGUAAUAUAUGUACCUCAAAUCAACACAAUGAACACCUUACACACUGCUCUAUGUCAGUUAUGUUUCAAUAAAGCUGAAGGAAAAAACAGAGACUGGGGCCAGACAGAUGUGAAUGCGACUCGGCUCCAACAACCUGUCACCACCUGUUUCACAAACUUUGGAAGCCUCACUCCCUCAUUUGUAAUACAAAGAUUCAUUUCAUAAAGAUACAUGGGAAAACACAGAAUAAAAAAGUUGUACCUCAGUACUGAGGGGAAAUUAACCCUAGUCCUGUCUAAGAUAUCUUAAAAGCAAGAUUCAAAUGAAUCAAACUGUUUCCAAGUAUUAAUAGCUUAUUUAUAUCCUAGAACAAAGUUCAAGAAUGUUUCUAGAAAUGUAAAAACACUCUGUUUAAAAAAAAAAAGUAAAAUUCACAUCUGAUACUUCAUUGAAAAUUGUCAAACGCAGUAGGAAAACAUGAACUGUAAGAAGGGGAAAAAACAAACAAAAAAGUCAAUUGAAACCAACCCAGAGUUGACACAGAUGUCAGAAUGAGCAGACAAGAACAUUAAAAUAGAGAUUAUAACUGUGUUCUGUAUUUUCAAAACAUUGAUUAAAGAUAUUAAAAAAAAAGACUGUAAUCAAACUUCUAGAGGUGAAAACUACAGUGUCUGAAGUUAAAUGAUACCAUAACAUUCGCUGAGUGGGAAAACUUGUUCUGGGUGCCACUUGGAGAAUAGUUUUAGGAAAAUAAUAUUAAAGUAGGAAUAAGAAGCUGUUAUACAGUGGAAGUGAGAAUUAG